UCUUAUAACAUUCUCAAUUAUCAAAAAUUCUUUAAGAGUUUUCUCUUAUUUUUCUCAAUGUUAUCACCUCAUUUAACAUGACUGCCGAUGCGAUUGUUUUCGUUGACGUCAGAGCGACUCAAUGGAUAUGUCUGAUUGUUCCUCUAGGACUAACAAACUCUUUAGUUAAAUAAAUUUUUUAACCUAACAAGCUUACAUUUCAUCCCAGGCUUAGAAAUACCAAAAAUACGGCUGAACAUAUAAAUACGGCAGAUGACAGUAUCCAAAACAAUUUUAUCUUUGAAUUGUUAAACAUGUAAAAAGCUUGUAGUGUUCACCUGCAUCACACAUGACAUUGUCAUUCUGCAAAUGUGGUUAAAAAGAACAAGUUAUUAAACGGCGUUACCAUUUUAUGUGCUAAACAACUUUUAAAGAUUUGGCUCAGACAGUCCUGUGACCGUAAAGAAGGUAGAAAUGAUCCCGAACAAGGAAGUACGCGAUCACAUCAAAAAAAUCCAAGACUCUAUCUGCAAUCAAUUUUUAUAAUUAAUUGUAAAAAUAAUAUAGUUUAUGUCUAAAGUGUUUGAAAAACACUUUAACCAUAAACUUUUUUUUCUCAAAUUUUAUGCAUUCGCCAAUGAACAUUAGUUGGACCUUGCGCCAAUAAUCAUUUCGGUGUUGGCCCAAUGCAUUAUGCCAACAUUAUAUCAAUGAAAGUCAAUGCAUUGGGCCAACAUUGACUCAAUUAUUUUUUGCUAGCUGGGUUUUAGCAUUUUUAAUGCACAACUUAGCUAUUGUAACAGCCUUUUGAUGAAAUACAUACCAAUAAAAACCUCAAGAAAUUCUAAUGCGUUCAAAACAACUUAUUCUGCAUUGUACUUAACUCGCUUUUUUAUUUAAAAUCAUAAAAAUUGUUAAUAUAUUUCAUUAUUUACAGAUCCAUCAAAGAAUAAAUUACAAGAUAUUUAUUGUCACAUACUCAACUUUUUUAAUUAAAUCUCCGGUGUAUCUUAGAAAUCCAAACUUCAAAACGAGGCAAUAGAAUGUCAGAAAGUUGCUAUUUUAAACUUCCUCAACAAAUUUUUAUUUUGCAUAAUUGCAUCUUAGAAUUGAUACAGUCUUUUUAUAAACCCACCCAACUCAAUUUCUUUUGACACAUUCAAAAAGAUUAAAGUAUGAAUAUUUUUCAGUCGCUUUCUCAAAAUGAUUCCGUUUCAAUGCUUCUGAAUCAAUUGGUUAAUAUUAAGGUCGUCGAUUAAAUGGUACUUUUUUCUUUAAAUAUUGUUAUUAAUAUCAGUAUUGUUAUCAUUAUUUUUAUUACUAUUAUCAUUUUUAUUUUUAUUAUAGUUAAAAAAAUUGAGAAACUCAAAAUUAUUUUUGAAAUUUUUUAUGGAACGCAUUCGUUACUACUUAAUUUAAUUAUGCAUUUGCAG